rnacentral:lncRNA from 1 species
UUCUUAUUUACGGUGUCCUGAACACACGAUGUCACAAAGAAUUAGCAACUUGGAAGCCCUGUGAAACUCAUGAAUACUAAAGAAGAUGUUACUGCCACUUUAUCAAGCCACUCCUGUGGCAGUAGACUCUAUAAGAUGGAAAAGUCACAACUGCAGCAGAGGCCAGAGCCAGAAGUUGAAAGUUGAAGAGAAAGCAUUAAGAGAACCAGAAGUUCUACAAACUUUUAAAGCCUGCUGAAGUGACAUACUUCCUUCUCCAUCAAGGCUCCACUUCCUAAAGGUUCCCUAACCUGUCUGAACAGUGCCACCAAUUGGGAACCACAUAUUUAAACAACUUUCAUAGUGCUGGAAAAUGCUAUUCAGGAUUGGAGAGGAAACCACAUCAAUGGACUUCAACAACACAAUCCUGUAUACUACAACAAUCAACCCACUGGACAAGAUGUGCCUACUGGUGCAGCAGUGACCAAACUGCUUAUGUAGAUAUGCAGCUGCUAUCUCAGUUGGAUUUGAGGCCUUUUUCACAAGCAUUAAUUCAUACCUGGUACUAUAAAC